rnacentral:rRNA from 1 species
AUAGCGGAGGAAAAGAAACCAACAGGGAUUGCCUCAGUAACGGCGAGUGAAGCGGCAAAAGCUCAAAUUUGAAAUCUAGCACUUUCAGUGUUCGAGUUGUAAUUUGAAGAAGGUAACUUUGGUUUUGGCUCUUGUCUAUGUUCCUUGGAACAGGACGUCACAGAGGGUGAGAAUCCCGUGCGAUGAGAUGCCCAAUUCCAUGUAAAGUGCUUUCGAAGAGUCGAGUUGUUUGGGAAUGCAGCUCUAAGUGGGUGGUAAAUUCCAUCUAAAGCUAAAUAUUGGCGAGAGACCGAUAGCGAACAAGUACAGUGAUGGAAAGAUGAAAAGAACUUUGAAAAGAGAGUGAAAAAGUACGUGAAAUUGUUGAAAGGGAAGGGCUUGAGAUCAGACUUGGUAUUUUGCGUUCCCUUCCUUUUUGGUUGGGUUCCUCGCAGUUUACUGGGCCAGCAUCGGUUUGGAUGGUAGGAUAAUGACAUUGGAAUGUAGCUUUACUUCGGUGAAGUGUUAUAGACUUUGUUGAUACUGCCUAUCUAGACCGAGGACUGCGUCUUUGACUAGGAUGCUGGCGUAAUGAUCUUAAGCCGCCCGUCUUGA